CGUGGCUAAAAUUUCCGGCAAAAUUUUCCUCCAAUUUUCCACUGAAAUUUAGCCACGGAUUUGGCCACGGAUUUAGGAGCCGUGGCUAAUUUAUUUGUCACUAAAUUAGCCACUGAUAUUAGCCACGGCAUUUAGCCCUGGCUAAUAAUGAUAAUAGGGUUAGGGUUAAUGUAAAUGUAAAUAAUUAGGGUUAGGGUUAAUGUAAAUGUAAAUAAUUAGGGUUAGGGUUAGGGUGAGGGUUAGGAUUAGGAUUAGGAUUAAUAGAAAUUAACAAAAAUUAGUAAAAAUAAGUAUAUAUACAUAUUUAGAUAGUGAUAGGGUUAGAAAUUAGGGUUAAAAGUAAGAGUUAGAAGUAGAAGUUAGGGUUAGAAG
rnacentral:lncRNA from 1 species